GGGUGCUAUCCUUGCUGUGGUAGUUAGACCUCCCCAAGCAGGGACAAGGAGUACCCACUGCUCCAUAAAGCUCCCUUUUACCCCAUACCCAGGAAGAAAGGAUUGGGCAGCUCCUCUGAGGGUGUCCAAACCAGGUAUAAGAAUUAAGGGAAUAAAAUGAUUAAGGAAAUGUCAAAAGGACAAGUGAGGGUGAUGAUGAUAAAGAGGAAGAAGAGAUAGAAAUAGAGGUUAUUUAAGGGGGCUACACAUUCUAGAACUAACAUGAUUUCUCUGCAUGUAUGUUUGUUUGCAUAAUGAGCCCUUUAUUUUUAUACUUGGACAAAAGUACUAUAAGCCCACUACACUUUUUGAUUUUGUGAAACUCUGUAAAUUGUUGUAUGGGGAUGCUGAGAAUUUAUUGAUUGUGA